UUAAGCGACUAAGCGUACACGGUGGAUGCCCUGGCAAGUCAGAGGCGAUGAAGGACGUGCUAAUCUGCGAUAAGCGCCGGUAAGGUGAUAUGAACCGUUAUAACCGGCGGAUUUCCGAAUGGGGAAACCCAGUGUGACUCGUCACACUAUCAUUAACUGAAUCCAUAGGUUAAUGAGGCGAACCGGGGGGAACUGAAACAUCUAAGUACCCCGAGGAAAAGAAAUCAACCGAGAUUCCCCCAGUAGCGGCGAGCGAACGGGGAGGAGCCCAGAGCCUGAAUCAGCAUGUGUGUUAGUGGAAGCGUCUGGAAAGGCGCCGCGAUACAGGGUGACAGCCCCGUACACAAAAGCGCAUGUGCUGUGAGCUCGAUGAGUAGGGCGGGACACGUGGUAUCCUGUCUGAAUAUGGGGGGACCAUCCUCCAAGGCUAAAUACUCCUGACUGACCGAUAGUGAACCAGUACCGUGAGGGAAAGGCGAAAAGAACCCCGGCGAGGGGAGUGAAAAAGAACCUGAAACCGUGUACGUACAAGCAGUGGGAGCACAGGUUUACCUGUGUGACUGCGUACCUUUUGUAUAAUGGGUCAGCGACUUAUAUUCUGUAGCAAGGUUAACCGUAUAGGGGAGCCGGAGGGAAACCGAGUCUUAAUUGGGCGUUAAGUUGCAGGGUAUAGACCCGAAACCCGGUGAUCUAGCCAUGGGCAGGUUGAAGGUUGGGUAACACUAACUGGAGGACCGAACCGACUAAUGUUGAAAAAUUAGCGGAUGACCUGUGGCUGGGGGUGAAAGGCCAAUCAAACCGGGAGAUAGCUGGUUCUCCCCGAAAGCUAUUUAGGUAGCGCCUCGUGAAUUCAUCUCCGGGGGUAGAGCACUGUUUCGGCUAGGGGGCCAUCCCGGCUUACCAACCCGAUGCAAACUGCGAAUACCGGAGAAUGUUAUCACGGGAGACACACGGCGGGUGCUAACGUCCGUCGUGAAGAGGGAAACAACCCAGACCGCCAGCUAAGGUCCCAAAGUCAUGGUUAAGUGGGAAACGAUGUGGGAAGGCCCAGACAGCCAGGAUGUUGGCUUAGAAGCAGCCAUCAUUUAAAGAAAGCGUAAUAGCUCACUGGUCGAGUCGGCCUGCGCGGAAGAUGUAACGGGGCUAAACCAUGCACCGAAGCUGCGGCAGCGACGCUUAUGCGUUGUUGGGUAGGGGAGCGUUCUGUAAGCCUGUGAAGGUGGCCUGUGAGGGUGGCUGGAGGUAUCAGAAGUGCGAAUGCUGACAUAAGUAACGAUAAAGCGGGUGAAAAGCCCGCUCGCCGGAAGACCAAGGGUUCCUGUCCAACGUUAAUCGGGGCAGGGUGAGUCGACCCCUAAGGCGAGGCCGAAAGGCGUAGUCGAUGGGAAACGGGUUAAUAUUCCCGUACUUGGUGUUACUGCGAAGGGGGGACGGAGAAGGCUAUGUUGGCCGGGCGACGGUUGUCCCGGUUUAAGCGUGUAGGCUGGUUUUCCAGGCAAAUCCGGAAAAUCAAGGCUGAGGCGUGACGACGAGGCACUACGGUGCUGAAGCAACAAAUGCCCUGCUUCCAGGAAAAGCCUCUAAGCAUCAGGUAACAUCAAAAUCGUACCCCAAACCGACACAGGUGGUCAGGUAGAGAAUACCAAGGCGCUUGAGAGAAACUCGGGUGAAGGAAACUAGGCAAAAAUGGUGCCGUAACUUCGGGAGAAGGCCACGCUGAUAUGUAGGUGAAGUGAUUUACUCAUGGAGCUGAAAUCAGUCGAAGAUACCAGCUGGCUGCAACUGUUUAUUAAAAACACAGCACUGUGCAAACACGAAAGUGGACGUAUACGGUGUGACGCCUGCCCGGUGCCGGAAGGUUAAUUGAUGGGGUCAGCGCAAGCGAAGCUCCUGAUCGAAGCCCCGGUAAACGGCGGCCGUAACUAUAACGGUCCUAAGGUAGCGAAAUUCCUUGUCGGGUAAGUUCCGACCUGCACGAAUGGCGUAAUGAUGGCCAGGGCUGUCUCCACCCGAGACUCAGUGAAAUUGAACUCGCUGUUGAAGAUGCAGUGUACCCGCGGCAAGACGGAAAGACCCCGUGAACCUUUACUAUAGCUUGACACUGAAACAUUGAGCCUUGAUGUGUAGGAUAGGUGGGAGGCUUUGAAGUGUGGACGCCAGUCUGCAUGGAGCCGACCUUGAAAUACCACCCCUUUUAAUGUUUGAUGUUCUAACGUGGACCCGUUACCCGGGUUGCGGGACAGUGUCUGGUGGGUAGUUUGACUGGGGCGGUCUCCUCCUAAAGAGUAACGGAGGAGCACGAAGGUUGGCUAAUCCUGGUCGGACAUCAGGAGGUUAGUGCAAUGGCAUAAGCCAGCUUGACUGCGAGCGUGACGGCGCGAGCAGGUGCGAAAGCAGGUCAUAGUGAUCCGGUGGUUCUGAAUGGAAGGGCCAUCGCUCAACGGAUAAAAGGUACUCCGGGGAUAACAGGCUGAUACCGCCCAAGAGUUCAUAUCGACGGCGGUGUUUGGCACCUCGAUGUCGGCUCAUCACAUCCUGGGGCUGAAGUAGGUCCCAAGGGUAUGGCUGUUCGCCAUUUAAAGUGGUACGCGAGCUGGGUUUAGAACGUCGUGAGACAGUUCGGUCCCUAUCUGCCGUGGGCGCUGGAGAACUGAGGGGGGGCUGCUCCUAGUACGAGAGGACCGGAGUGGACGCAUCACUGGUGUUCGGGUUGUCAUGCCAAUGGCACUGCCCGGUAGCUAAAUGCGGAAGAGAUAAAGUGCUGAAAGCAUCUAAGCACGAAACUUGCCCCGAGAUGAGUUCUCCCUGAGACUUAGAGUCUCCUGAAGGAACGUUGAAGACGACGACGUUGAUAGGCCGGGUGUGUAAGCGCAGCGAUGCGUUGAGCUAACCGGUACUAAUGAACCGUGAGGCUUAACCUU
rnacentral:rRNA from 1 species